CCCGGCCGGCACCGACGGCCGUCGUGACGCUCCGCGACGCGUGUGUGCGUUCGUUCGUUCGCGUAGGUAUAGAGGUAGAGAAGUAAAAAAGGAGUAUAAAGAGGAGAAAGAUCCGUCUGCGACAAGAACGAGAGGAAGCCGUGUCGUGCGACAGCGAUAGCUGCUUCUCUUUCUUUUUGCAAUAUUGAAACGUUGCAUUGGAUCGAGCGUUUAAUCAGCAGAAGCUACGAGAGAAUCAACGGGGCUCGCGUGAUCGGUUGUCGCAGCAUUGAUUCAUAGCGUUGUGACGAGUGUCUCGAACCAGUGCAUCUCGAAUUGCCUGGUAGUCGCGAGUAAUUAGUGAUUUGGUAGAUAGAGAGAGAGAGAGAGAGAGAGUGUCUCGUGUGUGCCGCGUAGUGAUCGACAGAAUUUGCUGGAGCAUGCGACAGUAAGGACUUAUCGACCCCAGCGACGUGCAUGUUUAUCGCUGGACAAUGGCUGGACUACGCUACAUUUGUUGGCUCUUCGUCAUCCUGGGAUACCUAUCGGUCGUUCUGGUGCUUGCCCAGAACCCUGUGGAGGAGAAGACCACCUUCGAGGCUGCUUUCCAAGGAAGAUGCGGGCACGGAUCGCCCUGCGAGCAGCUCUGUUACGAACUCCACGAUGGCAUGUACGAGUGCGACUGCAGGGACGGCUACAUACUUCAUAAAAAUGGAUACAGCUGUGCUGAACUCAACUCGACAUCGCCAUCGACGAGCGAACUCGGCGACCUCGUUGACGAGGUUGAGAGCGACGAGGCGAACGCGGACAACGCAGAUGACGAGGAUGCGGUCGAAGAUAUUCUUUAUAUACGCGGUGCAACCUUCACGAUACAUCUGGAUGCCCCAGCCGAGAAUUCCACCGUGAAUACGACGAAGAUAAACGAGGCGAAUGCGGAUCGGAUCGAGCUGCACGCCACGUCUCAGGGCCCAAAUCUGGAGCAAAAACUGCCAUCUACGAUGGAGAGCAUCGUGAGCACUGAGCCAGCAUGUUCCUUGGACUGCGGACCGGCUGGAAAUUGUUAUAUCGAGCAAUCUCGCGGAGAUGAAGUCGAUGUAGUGAUCGAAGACGACGACGACGACGGAGCCGUGGAUCUCGAAGGCAAUACCGUAAACCUCAGACGAAAGCAAGGAACAUUCAGACAGAGAUGCCAAUGUCCUCUCGGAAGAGGUGGAGAUCGUUGUCAGCUGGAAGCUGAAGUAAGAUCACCACGUUUCACUGGGUCAGGUUGGCUGGCUUUUCCCGCCUUACGAGCCGCUUACAAACACGUCCAAUUAGAAUUGGAAUUUCGACCAGAAGCAUGGGACGGAGUGCUUCUUCUGGCGGGAGAACGGGACGAUCUUCAGGGUGACUUUAUGGCCUUGAUACUUCAUCACGGCUUUAUCGAAUUCAGGUUUGAUUGUGGCAGCGGUGUGGGCACCGUGAGGAGCACGGAAACGGUGAAACUGAAUGAGUGGAACACCCUGAGUGUCUACAGACAUCGAUGGGAUGCCUGGAUCCAGCUGAAUCAAGAGAAGAGGGUAGAGGGACGAUCGAAGGGUUUGUUCUCGAGAAUUACGUUCCGCGAACCUCUCUUCGUUGGUGGACCCGGAAACACGACCGGUUUGGAGCGACUUCCGGUGAGGACUGGAUUUAAGGGCUGCAUCCGGCAUUUGGAGGCGAACGAGCACCAUUAUCGCUUCCCAUUGGCCCCGCAGGGCGAUGCCGCGAAUGGAUUCGACAUCGAGGAGUGCACGGCCGACAGGUGCAGUAAGGUGCCGUGUUCCCACGGUGGAAAAUGUCUGACAACUGGAGGCGACACGGCUGUCUGUCUCUGCCCGCUCGGCUACACAGGCGAUCUCUGCGAAACCCGAGUGGAUCUACAGGUUCCAUCCUUCAACGGAUCCUCUUACCUACGUUAUCCGGGAUUGGCGGACACGUCGCUGUCGUGGCUGGAAUUGUCCGUCACGUUAAAACCGACCGCGCUGGACGGCGUGAUACUCUACAACGGCCAUCACAGCGAUGCCACCGGUGACUUUAUUGCUCUCUAUCUCUCCUCGGGCCACGUGCAGUUCACCUUCGACCUCGGAACAGGACCUGCCACUUUGAGAAGCGAAAAUCCAAUUCGUCUUGGCGAAUGGGUCGAAGUUCGGGUCUCCAGGACAGGGCGUUUGGCAUCCUUAGAAGUUGAGGACGAUCCGGCCCAGGAAAUCCUGGCGCCCGGAGCGUUCACGCAAUUAUCCUUGCCGCUGAACCUCUAUUUAGGCGGAGCGCCGUCCUACGACAUGUACUCGCCGAAGAUGAAAACUACGGCCAGCUUCGUCGGCUGUAUUCAGACGAUCGUGCUGAAUAAUCGCGAGGUGGGUAUCCUAGCUGAAGCGUUAGGUGGAGUGAACGUAGGAAAUUGUGGGCACGCAUGCGAGGCUAGACCGUGCGGCGAUGCGGAAUGUCGGCCUCUUCGCGAGCGAUUUACCUGCCGAUGCCGUCCAGGAGUACCGCACCCUUGUCCUGCACCGGAUGAUUAUACGCCGCUGGUUCCGCCACCGGCGAGAACCAGCAACAACGCCGUUACGUCCGUGAGAUACGAGAGGGCUGUGCCCAGCUUCACCGGCAGUGAAAGCUACCUACAUUAUAACGACGCCGAUACAAUGAAAAGGAUAAUCAGUUAUAGGGUAGACAUCAAUAUGAGAUUCCGCGCCAGUAGCAGCAGCGGCUUGCUACUAUGGAGCGGUCGCCAAUCAGAUCCUCAGGAACAAAGGGAUGAAAACGACGACUUCCUCGCCCUCGGCCUGGAUCACGGUUAUCUUACUCUCGCAUAUAAUUUGGGUUCCGGAGAAGCCGUAUUACGGUAUAAUCUCACGCGAUUGGAUGACGAUCUGUGGCAUCGUAUCAGGGCCGUUAGAAAUGAACAAUGGGCAUCUCUCGUGGUAGAUAGUGGUACUGGUGUAUCAGCAUCUUCUCCGGGACAACUGAGACAACUAAACACUGAUACCGGUCUUUACGUCGGCGGUGCACCGGAUGUCGUGAGGACAACGGGAGGAAGGUACACGAAGGGCAUCGUGGGUUGCAUUAGCGACCUCGUGUUAGACUCGGACUUCUCCGUCGCUUUAUCGUCGCCCGCACAGGCAACCAACACACAUUCAUGCAUCCCCUGAAAGAGAGAUAUCCGUGCCGUCCGACGUCAGGUGGUGUUGUCGGGUCCAUCCCGAAGCUAGGAUAUGAAAAUUUAAGAAUAACGUAUCACACUGCGGUGAAAUAACCGUGGCAGAUAGUGCUCCGCGAAAGUGCAUCUGUGUCUCUCGUGCAUCCACGUGCGACCGCGUGUAAUAUCUUACGCGCGGUUCAUCAUUUUUGUACAGACUCAUCCUUCCACAGGUGGAACUCUCGAGAAGAUGGAGAUCGAGUGGGUCGGCAACCGACCACCACGUCGUGCGCGGCCAUCGACUGGAGCUAAGUCACAAGCGCAACUAUGAGCACGAGUUUUAGUUCCACGACGAUAUCGAAGUUAAUAUUGUGAUCGAUACGAGUAACUAUUAAUAAAAAUAAGAGAGAGCUAUGCCAUGGACCAAACACCAACUUGUAUCACCGUCUAUUCCAACGAGAAUAUAUAAUACGUAAAAUGCAAUUUCAGAAUGCAAAGUGCGUAAUCCUGAUGAAAAUGUGAGACUCGCAUCCUUUUAUAAGCGAUCUCAUCCGGUGUUGGGCAAACUUUACAAAUGACUUAUGCAAUAUACGGAUCUUUAACCAUUUCGUCCGUAUAAACGCCAUAUCUCAAAGAUAUUUUAAGACUAUGAUUACAAUAUAUUAUAUAUGCAAGAAUUUACCGUUUUAUGUUAGUAAUAACGCAAUUUUUAUUUUCAUUAACAUUAAAUACAAUAAAGACAACUACAAUUAU
rnacentral:misc_RNA from 1 species